rnacentral:pre_miRNA from 1 species
AUUAAGUUCAUUUUUAGUUUCUAGAUACAAUAUUUUGACUUUUCAUCUUAUUUAAAAAAAUUGCAAUUAAUAUUUUUAUUAUUAUUAGAUGGUAAAACAUGAAUAGUGCUUUAUGCGUGACUAUUUUUUUUAGUUUUUUUAUAAAUUUUUUAAAUAAGACAAUGGUCAAAAUAUUGGACACAGGAAUCGAAAAAUGAGGUUAUU